CCUACGGGAGGCAGCAGUGAGGAAUAUUGGUCAAUGGACGAGAGUCUGAACCAGCCAAGUAGCGUGAAGGAUGACUGCCCUAUGGGUUGUAAACUUCUUUUAUAUGGGAAUAAAAUGUUCCACGUGUGGGAUUUUGUAUGUACCAUAUGAAUAAGGAUCGGCUAACUCCGUGCCAGCAGCCGCGGUAAUACGGAGGAUCCGAGCGUUAUCCGGAUUUAUUGGGUUUAAAGGGAGCGUAGGUGGAUUGUUAAGUCAGUUGUGAAAGUUUGCGGCUCAACCGUAAGAUUGCAGUUGAAACUGGCAGUCUUGAGUACAGUAGAGGUGGGCGGAAUUCGUGGUGUAGCGGUGAAAUGCUUAGAUAUCACGAAGAACUCCGAUUGCGAAGGCAGUUCACUGGACUGCAACUGACACUGAGGCUUGAAAGUGUGGGUAUCAAACAGGAUUAGAUACCCGAGUAGUC
rnacentral:rRNA from 1 species